rnacentral:rRNA from 1 species
AGCUUAUUUGUUUACAAGCCUAAUAACUCAACCACCACCUCAAUCCUCUACCACUACUGAGUAAUUCUAUAACACUAUAGAAAAUUUUAUGUUAAAACUAGUAACAUGAAGGAAGUUCUUCUCUUCAAUGCAAGUGUACAUCAGCAGGGAUAAACCACUGAUAAUUAACGCACAAUGAAACCAGAGUAAAAACUCAAUCAAGAAAAAUCUACUCUCACUAGCGUUAACCUAACACAAGAGCAUUACAAGAAAGAUUAAAAGAAAAAGAAGGAACUCGGCAAAUAUUAACCUCGCCUGUUUACCAAAAACAUCGCCUCUUGAAUCAUUAUAAGAGGUCCAGCCUGCCCAGUGACCAUGUUCAACGGCCGCGGUAUCCUAACCGUGCGAAGGUAGCGUAAUCACUUGUUCUUUAAAUGUGGACUAGUAUGAAUGGCACCACGAAGGUUAUACUGUCUCCUUUUUCUAAUCAGUGAAACUAAUCUCCCCGUGAAGAAGCGGGGAUAACUCUAUAAGACGAGAAGACCCUAUGGAGCUUAAAACAAUAUAACAAUUGCUUCACAACACAUAUUUUCCCGAAUUCUCCACUCCUAUAAGCAAUGUGUUUACAAGUUUUUGGUUGGGGUGACCGCGGAGCAUAACACAACCUCCAUGUUGAAAGAAUUUUCUAAGCUAAAACCUACUAGUUUAAGCAUCAGUACUCUGACAUUCAUUGACCCAAUAUAUUUGAACAACGAACCAAGUUACCCUAGGGAUAACAGCGCAAUCCACUUCAAGAGCUCCUAUCGACAAGUGGGUUUACGACCUCGAUGUUGGAUCAGGGUAUCCCAGUGGUGCAGCCGCUACUAAA